rnacentral:misc_RNA from 1 species
UUUCCGUAGGUGAACCUGCGGAAGGAUCAUUCAUAAUAAAGUGUUUUAUGGCACUUUAUAAAAAUCCAUAUCCACCUUGUGUGCAAUGUUAGAUCUCGUCAAUCUUGGCGAGAUUUUUAUACAUCAACUCAUUCUUUAACUAAUUUGUCUGAAAAAUAUUAUGAAUACUUAAUUCAAAAUACAACUUUCAACAACGGAUCUCUUGGCUCUCGCAUCGAUGAAGAUCGCAGC